UAAUAAAUUCCCCAGAGGAAGAGGAAAG
rnacentral:piRNA from 1 species